AAGUCGUAACAAGGUUUCCGUAGGUGAACCUGCGGAAGGAUCAUUAUUGAAUGAACUUGGUAUGGUUGUUGCUGGCCCUCUUGGGGGCAUGUGCACACCUGCCAUCCUCAUAUCUCCACCUGUGCACCUUAUGUAGGCUUGGAUUGACUUUCCGAGGCAACUCGGUUGAGAGGGCUGCCGGGGUAAUUCUGGCUUUCCUUGUAUUUCCAGGUCUAUGUUUUUCAUAUACUCCAUUGUAUGUAACAGAAUGCAUCAUUAGGCCCAUUGUGCCUAUAAAACUUAUACAACUUUCAGCAACGGAUCUCUUGGCUCUC
rnacentral:misc_RNA from 1 species